UUCUUAUUAAGAGUGGUGGAGGGACUGGCCCUAUGAAACCCAGCAACACCUAUAUAAAUUAUUUAUAUAGGAAUGUGCUAAAUCCUGCAGCUUAAAAGCUGAGAGAUAAGAA
rnacentral:ncRNA from 2 species